UACGAAGGGUGCUAGCGUUGCUCGGAAUUACUGGGCGUAAAGGGUUCGUAGGCGGUGCGGUAUGUCGGGUGUGAAAUCUCUGGGCUUAACUCAGAGGCUGCUUCCGAAACUGCCGUGCUCGAGUGCAGGAGAGGCGAGUGGAAUUACAGGUGUAGCGGUGAAAUGCGUAGAUAUCUAUAGGAACACCCGUGGCGAAGGCGGCUCGCUGGACCGCAACUGACGCUGAGGAACGAAAGCUAGGGGAGCAAACAGG
rnacentral:rRNA from 1 species